AGAUAGAGGAUGCGCUUCGUCAAGAGUAUCCGGCGCCGAUGCCAUGCAGGGCAGGACCGGAGAAAGGGGCGGGCGCCGAAGGCGGAUCUCGCUGCGUAGGGAUCCGUACUGGGCGGGCGAACUAAGAGUCGUCCGACUGUCGCAAAUGAAAGAUUUGCGGAGAGCUAUCC
rnacentral:ncRNA from 1 species